rnacentral:lncRNA from 1 species
CUUAGGGCUAAGAUAGAGCAGCCAAUGAAGAACCUUGCCUCCAGGGCAGAGAUCAGUGUUUUUUGGUGAGAGUUCUCCGUGAACAGCAGUGAAAUUGCUCUGGUGGCAUGGUGGGGAACAUGCUGGAAAGUUUUCUUUUAAGGUGCUAGGAAAAUCUGUUCAUGGGGAGGUGUCUUGCUGGAGACACUGCUCUAUGAAACUGCCUGGGAGGUGCCAUGGGAAGCUGCUGGAUGCUGCUGGCCGCCAUGCACUGCAGGAGCCCGAUGCCAGCAAAGGUGUGCACCACAGGAGCUGGCAAUACAGGAGCUACCUGUGCUGCAGGAACCAGCCCAGAGGCCCCACAGAACUGUUUCAGUUACCUGCAGUCAACCAUGGUCUGAAAAUAUUACAUGGAAAAUUCACUGCCACAAUGUCUACAUCACUCAUUUCACUUCAUCUCCUCACAUACCCACUGUAUUAUCUCACGUCACCACAAGAGGAAAAAGGAGCAGAAAGAGAAAUCCACAGAGAUGUUGAUAAGUAUUUCCUCAUAGAUGAACAAAACUUGGCCCACUAUACUGAAAAGAAAAGCAAAUGAAAACAACCAGGAUGUAAGAGCCAAGAGGCUCUGAUUUGGUGAUGCCAGAAUCGUCAUGUUUGCCAAAUGGAUGUUUGCCAAAGUGCUCCAUGAAACCAUCCGUCAAAGCAGUGAUUUAUUACAAGAGAUUCAGCUUGCAAGCCUGUGGAAGGACUGAUGAGUGUUCUGUCAGGGUCUCUAAGUGACUCCCAGAGCAAUAAAUUUCUAUUAGAUCAAGGGAGCAACUGCUCUGAGGCUGCCACUGAAGCCACAUGAGAAUCCAGAAGAUAUAGAAGCCACCACUGCAACUUACCUCUUGAUACACAAGAAUCUGGAGAAUGGACUCUCUUAGUUACAAUCCCAGCAUUAUGAAGAUGGAUAAAGAAGAUGCUGCUGCAGCUGCUGCAGCCACAGCUACUUCCAGACACACAGUAAAGGUGAAAAUAGGCUCUCACCUCAAGGGAGUUUAGGAACAUCCAUACCAUUUAGCUUUCCAAUUUCUCCAAAAGAAAGACUGUGGGAUGGAAUGGAGUGGCUAAAUCCACAGUGACCUUUGUAGGGGCACCUUCAUUUGGAUGUUCCACAGGUUCUUCAGUCAACUUGUCCAUAACCAAACUCAUCCUCCUCCUACAUUCCAUAAAUCCACUCUUUUUUUUGUUAUUGAAUUGUGUAUCAUAAUGAAUAGUAUCAUUACUAGUUUUAUAAAUUAUAACUGUUUCAUUUCCAGUGACUCACCUGCCCUUCAUGCCACUCUUCAAUCUCUAUUGUAAUAUAGUUCAGUUGAAAUGACCUCUUUAACCUCCUUAGUCUUGUCUUGGUUCUGAAUCUAAUGCCAGUGGCUUGGAUUGGGCCUUCUAAUAUUUUAAGUGACCUGUUGAAAUAACCUACAAAUUUCUGUUUAUCAUUUUAGCUUUGCUCUCUCCUAAUCUUAUCUCUAGACAUUGCAUCAGUUGAUAUUUCUAAACAAAACACUGAUUAUGUCAUUCUCCUUUAAAAAUCUUUCCAAAGCUCCUCAUUGCCUUCAGGAAAGUAGACCAAUUUCUUAUCAUUGCCUAGAGGACCUCAUGACCUGAUUAUGACCAGUCCCUCUAACCUCUCUUCUCACUUCUCCUCAAUCAUGCUCCGUGGAGCAAGUAUACUGACCCAUUUAAAGCACCAAGUCAGUAUCUUCGUAAAUACUUCCCUGUGUAACUGAAAUAUUCUGACCUCCCUCUGUCAUGUCUCUUCACCUAAGAUUUUCCUACCUCUAGAAGUCUCCUUGUUGAUGGAUCACCUAUUCCUAGUCAAGAUUAGGUACCACCCUAUGGUUCAUCUGCAUAUUUUAUCACUCAUAUAGCAUGUAAUCAUUUACUUCUACACAUAUCCUCAUUGAACUGUAGACUCUCUGUAUCUGCCUUUCACCUCUGUAUCUCUAGUGACUAACACAGAGCUUAGAGCAUAGCGUUUUGUAAAUGUCUGUGUAAUGAAUGAUUGAAUAAACUUUAUAUAUUAUCAGAAAACUUUAUUCUUCACUUUUAAUAUUUCCUAGUCAUCACACCUAACCACAAAAUAAGAAAAUUCAUAGCACUAUUAAAUAUAAUCUAG